rnacentral:rRNA from 1 species
UACAGAGGCCCCAAGCAUUAUCCGGAAUCAUUGGGCGUAAAGGGUGUCAAGGCGGGUAUGUUAGUCGUUCGUAAAAUCCGUGAGCUCAACUUACGGACCGCGAGCGAAACGGCAUACCUAGAGGUUGGAAGAGGUGCGUGGAACUCACGGUGUAGGGGUGAAAUCCGUUGAUAUCGUGGGGAACACCAAAGGCGAAGGCAGCGCACUGGUCCAAAUCUGACGCUCACACACGAAAGCCAGGGUAGCGAAUGGG